GGGACUGUAGCUCAGCAGGUCAGAGUGCCAUGUUGACAUCGUGGAGGUCAUCAGUUCGAAUCUGAUCAGUCCCA
rnacentral:tRNA from 1 species